CCUACGGGUGGCAGCAGUGAGGAAUAUUGGUCAAUGGCCGGAAGGCUGAACCAGCCAAGCCGCGUGAAGGACGAAGGUGCCAAGCAUUGUAAACUUCUUUUGUCAAGGGACAAAAUCAGGCUCGAGAGCCUGACCGAGGGUACUUGAAGAAAAAGCAUCGGCUAACUCCGCGCCAGCACCGGCGGUAAUACGGAGGAUGCGAGCGUUAUCUGGAUUUAUGGGGUUUAAAGGGUGCGUGGGCGGGCUGUUAGGUCAGCGGUAAAAGCCCGGGGCGCAACCCCGGCGAGCCGUUGAAACUGGCGGUCUUGAGAUGUCGAGGGGUAUGCGGAAUGCGCGGUGUAGCGGUGAAAUGCUUAGAUAUUGCGAAGAACUCCGAUUGCGAAGGCA
rnacentral:rRNA from 1 species